GUGCUCACUUUGGCAACACAUAUACUAAAAUUGGAACAAUUCAGAGAAGAUUAGCAUGACCCCUGUGCAAGGAUAACAUGGAAAUUCAUGAAGCAUUCCAUAUUUUU
rnacentral:snRNA from 1 species